GACGAACGCUGGCGGCGUGCCUAAUACAUGCAAGUUGAGCGCUGAAGGUUGGUACUUGUACCAACUGGAUGAGCAGCGAACGGGUGAGUAACGCGUGGGGAAUCUGCCUUUGAGCGGGGGACAACAUUUGGAAACGAAUGCUAAUACCGCAUAAAAACUUUAAACACAAGUUUUAAGUUUGAAAGAUGCAAUUGCAUCACUCAAAGAUGAUCCCGCGUUGUAUUAGCUAGUUGGUGAGGUAAAGGCUCACCAAGGCGAUGAUACAUAGCCGACCUGAGAGGGUGAUCGGCCACAUUGGGACUGAGACACGGCCCAAACUCCUACGGGAGGCAGCAGUAGGGAAUCUUCGGCAAUGGACGAAAGUCUGAACGAGCAACGCCGCGGGAGUGAAGAAGGUUUUCGGAUCGUAAAACUCUGUUGGUAGAGAAGAACGUUGGUGAGAGUGGAAAGCUCAUCAAGUGACGGUAACUACCCAGAAAGGGACGGCUAACUACGUG
rnacentral:rRNA from 1 species